UACGUAGGUGGCAAGCGUUGUCCGGAUUUACUGGGCGUAAAGAGCGCGCAGGCGGUCGGAUCAGUCGAAUGUGAAAGCCCCCGGCUCAACUGGGGAGGGUCAUUCGAUACUGUCCGACUCGAAGGCAGGAGAGGGAAGCGGAAUUCCCGGUGUAGUGGUGAAAUGCGUAGAUAUCGGGAGGAACACCAGUGGCGAAGGCGGCUUGCCAGAACGCGCUCGACGGUGAGGGAUGAAAGCUGGGGGAGCAAACCGG
rnacentral:rRNA from 1 species